GGGUUGUGAGGUUAAGCGACUAAGCGUACACGGUGGAUGCCUAGGCAAUCAGAGGCGAUGAAGGACGUGCUAAUCUGCGAUAAGCGUCGGUAAGGUGAUAUGAACCGUUACAACCGACGAUUUCCGAAUGGGGAAACCCAGUGCAAUUCGUUGCACUAUCGUUUGAUGAAUACAUAGUCAAACGAAGCGAACCGGGGGAACUGAAACAUCUCAGUACCCCGAGGAAAAGAAAUCAACCGAGAUUCCCCUAGUAGCGGCGAGCGAACGGGGAGCAGCCCAGAGUCUUAAUCAGCAUUAGCAUCAGGAGAACGGUCUGGAAAGUCCGGCAGUAAAGGGUGAUAGCCCCGUAUCCGAAGGUGUUAGUGUUGUGAACUCGACGAGUAGGGCGGGACACGUGUUAUCCUGUCUGAAUAUGGGGGGACCAUCCUCCAAGGCUAAAUACUCCUGAUUGACCGAUAGUGAACCAGUACCGUGAGGGAAAGGCGAAAAGAACCCCGGCGAGGGGAGUGAAAUAGAACCUGAAACCGUGUACGUACAAGCAGUGGGAGCCCCAUCACUCAAGUGCCUCGGCAAUUGAGUGAUGGCUUAACAACCACCACAAGAGCAGCGCAGAAUUUGCUAACAAGAUUGGUCGAUUUUUUCAAGCCGUCGCGCAGUGUACAUAGAAGUACACGAGCAACGGAAGUUAAAAAAUCGGGCAAGAUUGGCCGCAAAGACAAGCGGGACAUUUGAGGAUGGGGUGACUGCGUACCUUUUGUAUAAUGGGUCAGCGACUUAUAUUCUGUAGCAAGGUUAACCGUAUAGGGGAGCCGUAGGGAAACCGAGUCUUAACUGGGCGAAUAAGUUGCAGGGUAUAGACCCGAAACCCGGUGAUCUAGCCAUGGGCAGGUUGAAGGUUGGGUAACACUAACUGGAGGACCGAACCGACUAAUGUUGAAAAAUUAGCGGAUGACUUGUGGCUGGGGGUGAAAGGCCAAUCAAACCGGGAGAUAGCUGGUUCUCCCCGAAAGCUAUUUAGGUAGCGCCUCGUGAACUCAUCUUCGGGGGUAGAGCACUGUUUCGACUAGGGGGUCAUCCCGACUUACCAACUCGAUGCAAACUACGAAUACCGAAGAAUGUUAUCACGGGAGACACACGGCGGGUGCUAACGUUCGUCGUGAAGAGGGAAACAACCCAGACCGCCAGCUAAGGUCCCAAAGUCAUAGUUAAGUGGGAAACGAAGUGGGAAGGCUCAGACAGCCAGGAUGUUGGCUUAGAAGCAGCCAUCAUUUAAAGAAAGCGUAAUAGCUCACUGGUCGAGUCGGCCUGCGCGGAAGAUGUAACGGGGCUAAACUAUGCACCGAAGCUGCGGCAGCGAUAUGUAAAUAUUGUUGGGUAGGGGAGCGUUCUGUAAGCCUGUGAAGGUGUGCUGUGAGGCAUGCUGGAGGUAUCAGAAGUGCGAAUGCUGACAUAAGUAACGAUAAUGCGGGUGAAAAACCCGCACGCCGGAAGACCAAGGGUUCCUGUCCAACGUUAAUCGGGGCAGGGUGAGUCGACCCCUAAGGCGAGGCAGAAAUGCGUAGUCGAUGGGAAACGGGUUAAUAUUCCCGUACUGGUGAUAAUUGCGAUGGGGGGACGGAGAAGGCUAGGCUAUCCGGGCGACGGUUGUCCCGGUUUAAGGAUGUAGGCAGGUGAAUUAGGCAAAUCCGGUUCACUAUAUGCUGAGGUCCGAUGACGAGUCACUACGGUGAUGAAGUAGCUCAUGCCCCGCUUCCAGGAAAAGCCUCUAAGCUCUAGAUUAUCAUUAAUCGUACCCCAAACCGACACAGGUGGUCAGGUAGAGAAUACUCAGGCGCUUGAGAGAACUCGGGUGAAGGAACUAGGCAAAAUGGUGCCGUAACUUCGGGAGAAGGCACGCUGGCAUUAGGUGAAGUGAUUUACUCAUGGAGCUGAAGCCAGUCGCAGAUACCAGCUGGCUGCAACUGUUUAUUAAAAACACAGCACUGUGCAAACACGAAAGUGGACGUAUACGGUGUGACGCCUGCCCGGUGCUGGAAGGUUAAUUGAUGGGGUUAUCCGUAAGGAGAAGCUCUUGAUCGAAGCCCCAGUAAACGGCGGCCGUAACUAUAACGGUCCUAAGGUAGCGAAAUUCCUUGUCGGGUAAGUUCCGACCUGCACGAAUGGCGUAAUGAUGGCCAGGCUGUCUCCACCCGAGACUCAGUGAAAUUGAACUCGCUGUGAAGAUGCAGUGUACCCGCGGCAAGACGGAAAGACCCCGUGAACCUUUACUAUAGCUUGACACUGAACAUUGAGCCUUGAUGUGUAGGAUAGGUGGGAGGCUUUGAAGCGUGGACGCCAGUCUGCGUGGAGCCAACCUUGAAAUACCACCCUUUAAUGUUUGAUGUUCUAACGUUGCCCCAUUAUCUGGGGUGCGGACAGUGUCUGGUGGGUAGUUUGACUGGGGCGGUCUCCUCCCAAAGAGUAACGGAGGAGCACGAAGGUUGGCUAAGCAUGGUCGGACAUCAUGCGGUUAGUGCAAAGGCAUAAGCCAGCUUGACUGCGAGAGUGACGGCUCGAGCAGGUACGAAAGUAGGUCUUAGUGAUCCGGUGGUUCUGAAUGGAAGGGCCAUCGCUCAACGGAUAAAAGGUACUCCGGGGAUAACAGGCUGAUACCGCCCAAGAGUUCAUAUCGACGGCGGUGUUUGGCACCUCGAUGUCGGCUCAUCACAUCCUGGGGCUGAAGUAGGUCCCAAGGGUACGGCUGUUCGCCGUUUAAAGUGGUACGCGAGCUGGGUUUAGAACGUCGUGAGACAGUUCGGUCCCUAUCUGCCGUGGGCGUUGGAAGAUUGAAAGGGGCUGCUCCUAGUACGAGAGGACCGGAGUGGACGCACCACUGGUGUUCGGGUUGUCAUGCCAAUGGCAUUGCCCGGUAGCUAAGUGCGGAAGAGAUAACCGCUGAAAGCAUCUAAGCGGGAAACUUGCCUUGAGAUGAGUCUUCCCUGACUCUUUAAGAGUCCUAAAGGAACGUUUAAGACUAAGACGUUGAUAGGUUGGGUGUGUAAGCGUAGCGAUACGUUGAGCUAACCAAUACUAAUGAACCGUGAGGCUUAACCUGACAACACCGAAGGUGUUUUAG
rnacentral:rRNA from 1 species